CCUGAGUACAGCGGCGCACGGGUGGGUAACACGUGGGUAAUCUGCCCUGGAGUGGGGAAUAACACCGGGAAACCGGUGCUAAUACCGCAUACGAUCGCAAGGUCUGUGGAUUUUGCGAUGAAAGGAGCAAUUCGCUCCAGGAGGAGCCCGCGGCUGAUUAGCUAGUUGGUGAGGUAACGGCUCACCAAGGCAACGAUCAGUAGCCGGUCUGAGAGGACGGUCGGCCACACUGGAACUGAGACACGGUCCAGACUCCUACGGGAGGCAGCAGUGGGGAAUUUUUGGCAAUGGGGGAAACCCUGACCAAGCAACGCCGCGUGGGUGAUGAAGUCUCUUGGGACGUAAAACCCUUUCGACGGGGAAGAAAACCGCAAGGUUUGACGGUACCCGUAGAAGAAGCCCCGGCUAACUCCGUGCCAGCAGCCGCGGUAAUACGGGGGGGGCAAGCGUUGUUCGGAAUUACUGGGCGUAAAGGGCGCGUAGGCGGUUCGUUAAGUCGGAUGUGAAAACUCUGGGCUCAACCCAGAGCCUGCAUCCGAAACUGGCGGGCUAGAGUUCUGGAGGGGGUAGCGGAAUUCCUGGUGUAGCGGUGAAAUGCGUAGAUAUCAGGAGGAACACCGGUGGCGAAGGCGGCUACCUGGACAGAAACUGACGCUGAGGCGCGAAAGCUAGGGGAGCAAACAGGAUUAGAUACCCUGGUAGUCCUAGCCCUAAACGAUGGAUACUUGGU
rnacentral:rRNA from 1 species